GCUGUAGCUCAGUGAUUAGAGCGCCUGCCUUGCAUGCAGAAGGCCUCAGGUUCAAUCCCUGGCAUGUCCA